AGAGUUUGAUCCUGGCUCAGGAUGAACGCUGGCGGCGUGCUUAACACAUGCAAGUCGAGCGAAGCAGUUAAGUUGAUUUCUUCGGAUUGAUUCUUAACUGACUGAGCGGCGGACGGGUGAGUAACGCGUGGGUGACCUGCCCCAUACCGGGGGAUAACAGCUGGAAACGGCUGCUAAUACCGCAUAAGCGCACAGAGCUGCAUGGCUCGGUGUGAAAAACUCCGGUGGUAUGGGAUGGGCCCGCGUCUGAUUAGGCAGUUGGCGGGGUAACGGCCCACCAAACCGACGAUCAGUAGCCGGCCUGAGAGGGCGACCGGCCACAUUGGGACUGAGACACGGCCCAAACUCCUACGGGAGGCAGCAGUGGGGAAUCUUGCGCAAUGGGGGGAACCCUGACGCAGCGACGCCGCGUGCGGGACGGAGGCCUUCGGGUCGUAAACCGCUUUCAGCAGGGAAGAGUCAAGACUGUACCUGCAGAAGAAGCCCCGGCUAACUACGUGCCAGCAGCCGCGGUAAUACGUAGGGGGCGAGCGUUAUCCGGAUUCAUUGGGCGUAAAGCGCGCGUAGGCGGCCCGGCAGGCCGGGGGUCGAAGCGGGGGGCUCAACCCCCCGAAGCCCCCGGAACCUCCGCGGCUUGGGUCCGGUAGGGGAGGGUGGAACACCCGGUGUAGCGGUGGAAUGCGCAGAUAUCGGGUGGAACACCGGUGGCGAAGGCGGCCCUCUGGGCCGAGACCGACGCUGAGGCGCGAAAGCUGGGGGAGCGAACAGGAUUAGAUACCCUGGUAGUCCCAGCCGUAAACGAUGGACAAAUAGGUGUGGGGGGACGAUCCCCCCCGUGCCGCAGCCAACGCAUUAAGUGUCCCGCCUGGGGAGUACGGCCGCAAGGCUAAAGCUCAAAGGAAUUGACGGGGGCCCGCACAAGCAGCGGAGCAUGUGGCAUAAUUAGAAGCAACGCGAAGAACCUUACCAGGGCUUGACAUAUGGGGGAAGCGGGGGAGACCCCGNGGCCGAGAGGAGCCCANACAGGNGUUUAAUGGCUGUCGUCAGCUCGUGUCGUGAGAUGUUGGGUUAAGUCCCGCAACGAGCGCAACCCCCGCCGCGUGUUGCCAUCGGGUGAUGCCGGGAACCCACGCGGGACCGCCGCCGUCAAGGCGGAGGAGGGCGGGGACGACGUCAAGUCAUCAUGCCCCUUAUGCCCUGGGCUGCACACGUGCUACAAUGGCCGGUACAGAGGGAUGCCACCCCGCGAGGGGGAGCGGAUCCCGGAAAGCCGGCCCCAGUUCGGAUUGGGGGCUGCAACCCGCCCCCAUGAAGUCGGAGUUGCUAGUAAUCGCGGAUCAGCAUGCCGCGGUGAAUGCGUUCCCGGGCCUUGCACACACCGCCCGUCA
rnacentral:rRNA from 1 species